rnacentral:misc_RNA from 1 species
UCUCCGUAGGUGAACCUGCGGAGGGAUCAUUACAGAGUUCUGGCCGUCGCAGGUAGAUCUCCUCCCCACUUUUAUCGUUACUGCGUUGCUUUGGGGGGGCGCCGGGCUCCGCUCGGCCGCCGGCACCGGCGGGCGCGCGCCCGCAAGAGGCCCAGCAAACACUGACUGUUAGUGUCGUUUGAGUACUAUAUAAGAGUUAAAACUUUCAACAACGGAUCUCUUGGUUCUG